GAUACGGCCCAGACUCCUACGGGAGGCAGCAGUGGGGAAUAUUGCACAAUGGGCGCAAGCCUGAUGCAGCGACGCCGCGUGCGGGAUGACGGCCUUCGGGUUGUAAACCGCUUUUGACUGGGAGCAAGCCCUUCGGGGUGAGUGUACCUUUCGAAUAAGCACCGGCUAACUACGUGCCAGCAGCCGCGGUAAUACGUAGGGUGCAAGCGUUAUCCGGAAUUAUUGGGCGUAAAGGGCUCGUAGGCGGUUCGUCGCGUCCGGUGUGAAAGUCCAUCGCUUAACGGUGGAUCCGCGCCGGGUACGGGCGGGCUUGAGUGCGGUAGGGGAGACUGGAAUUCCCGGUGUAACGGUGGAAUGUGUAGAUAUCGGGAAGAACACCAAUGGCGAAGGCAGGUCUCUGGGCCGUCACUGACGCUGAGGAGCGAAAGCGUGGGGAGCGAACAGGAUUAGAUACCCUGGUAGUCCACGCCGUAAACGGUGGAUGCUGGAUGUGGGGACCAUUCCACGGUCUCCGUGUCGGAGCCAACGCGUUAAGCAUCCCGCCUGGGGAGUACGGCCGCAAGGCUAAAACUCAAAGAAAUUGACGGGGGCCCGCACAAGCGGCGGAGCAUGCGGAUUAAUUCGAUGCAACGCGAAGAACCUUACCUGGGCUUGACAUGUUCCCGACAGCCCCAGAGAUGGGGCCUCCCUUCGGGGCGGGUUCACAGGUGGUGCAUGGUCGUCGUCAGCUCGUGUCGUGAGAUGUUGGGUUAAGUCCCGCAACGAGCGCAACCCU
rnacentral:rRNA from 1 species